AUAUGCAGAAACCACCUUGAAGUAAACAUAAUAAAAUAAAGGUUUCUGCAUUACGCUAAUAAAAGUGCCAACACAUCGCAAUCGAGUAUUGAGUGUUAAAACACCAGAUAGCGGCGGACGGGUGAGUAACGCGUGAGCAAUCUGCCUUAUACAGGGGGAUAACAGCCGGAAACGGCUGCUAAUACCGCAUAAGACCACAGCAGCGCAUGCUGCAGGGGUAAAAGGAGGAAUCCGGUAUAAGAUGAGCUCGCGUCCCAUUAGCUAGUUGGUAGGGUAACGGCCUACCAAGGCGACGAUGGGUAGCCGACCUGAGAGGGUGACCGGCCACACUGGGACUGAGACACGGCCCAGACUCCUACGGGAGGCAGCAGUGGGGAAUAUUGCGCAAUGGGGGGAACCCUGACGCAGCAACGCCGCGUGAGUGAAGAAGGUCUUCGGAUCGUAAAGCUCUGUCUUUGGGGACGAAAGAGAUGACGGUACCCAAGGAGGAAGCCCCGGCUAACUACGUG
rnacentral:rRNA from 1 species